UACGGGGGGGGCAAGCGUUGUUCGGAAUUACUGGGCGUAAAGGGCUUGUAGGUGGCCAACUAAGUCAGACGUGAAAUCCCUCGGCUUAACCGGGGAACUGCGUCUGAUACUGGAUGGCUAGAGUGUGGGAGAGGGAUGCGGAAUUCCAGGUGUAGCGGUGAAAUGCGUAGAUAUCUGGAGGAACACCGGUGGCGAAGGCGGCAUCCUGGACCGGCAUUGACGCUGAGGAGCGAAAGCCAGGGGAGCAAACGGG
rnacentral:rRNA from 1 species